ACGAGGAAUUAUUUUCCAUCAAACUUUACCUAGUAGUUUUAUCUGUCUUUGCAUCCUUCUGUUAGCACAAUGGAUCUGCCGACCGAACUCAUUUGUUCUUAAUAAUCUAAGGAUGUUGCUUUCUAAACAGUGUGGUGGAAACUUUACUUCCUGGUUCCUUUGAAAGCGCGGGUAUGAUCUAAACAGCAAUUGGACUUGCAUUUUUCUUCUGCGUAAAUCAACUGAAGGAUCCCGCCGCGUUCCCUCAAGAUGGCACUUCAUAUCACCAUUGAAGAUAUCCUAAAUUCAUGGAAAGGGGAACAAGCCAAGAUUCAUCAUUCAGUUCAACUUUGCACCGAAAUCAUAGUUUUAACAUCUCAAGCAAGAUCAUCCCCUGUGUCUCAGUCUGAAUGUAAUUUACCUACAGAUAUUUCAAAAGUGGAGAAAGAAGAAAUAGAUCUUCUUGAAAAGGCUUUGGAAAAAGCAGUGCGCGUCCGCUCUGGUUUAGAACCUGCCAUAAGACGUGGCACUGUCAAAUCACCUCAAACUCUAAACAAACAAGGUAGCGCUGCAACAAAAGAUUCAGUUAAAUCAUCUAAAGGGCAAACAAAAAAUGAUAAAUUGAUGUCCAAAACAACUGAACAAAAAGACCAAAGAAAAUAUCAGCCAGCAAUCCGCCGUUCUCCUAGCACCAAACCAGCAGAUGGCUUAAAAUGUGUGCACACGAAUGCCCCCAAAAAACAAAUUACAUUACAGGGACUGCCACAUCAUGGACAACAUGCAUUUCCUUGUGGAUCUAAA